rnacentral:rRNA from 1 species
UACGUAGGGAGCGAGCGUUAUCCGGAUUUAUUGGGUGUAAAGCGUGUGUAGGCGGUAAAUUAAGUCUAAGGUUUAAGCCCGGAGCUCAACUCCGGUUCGCCUUAGAAACUGAUUUUCUUGAGUAUGGUAGAGGCAAGUGGAAUUCCUAGUGUAGCGGUGAAAUGCGUAGAUAUUAGGAGGAACACCAGUGGCGAAGGCGGCUUACUGGACGAUGACUGACGCUGAGGCUCGAAAGCGUGGGGAGCAAACAGG